AAUCUUGCGCAAUGUGCGAAAGCCUGACGCAGCCAUGCCGCGUGAAUGAUGAAGGUCUUAGGUUUGUAAAAUUCUUUCACCUGGGACGAAAAUGACCGGACACGGAGAAGAAGCCCCGGCCCACUCCGUGCCAGCUGCUGCGGUAAUACGUAGGGGGCUAGCGUUGCUCGGAAUUCCUGGGCGUAAAGGGCGCGUAGGCGGAUAGUUAAGUCAGGGGUGAAAUCCCGGGGCUCAACCUCGGAAUUGCCCUUGAUACUGGCGAUCUUGAGUAUGAGAGAGGUAUGUGGAACUCCGAGUGUAGAGGUGAAAUUCGUAGAUAUUCGGAAGAAAACCAGUGGCGAAGGCGACAUACUGGCUCAUUACUCACGCUGAGGCGCGAAAGCGUGGGGAGCAAACA
rnacentral:rRNA from 1 species